ensembl:snoRNA
UUGCAAACUGUCAGUGUGCUUGGCUCUGCAGUGACCUUGUACAUUCCUAUAGUGCUUGCAAGAAUAGUUUUGAAAUGAUUUGAGGCCUUGCUCUGCUCCAUCUAUGGAGCAAGGUUAUAGAAAUUUCAUAUAGUU